GAAAACUACUAGGGGUGCCCGGAUGCUGGGCUGAGAGAAAAAUUUUCGUUUUCAACCCUUUGGACCUGAUCCGGAUUAUACCGGCGUAGGAAAGUAGAUGGUUUACAUA
rnacentral:ncRNA from 1 species